CUGCGGACUUAAUUGGAUUGAGCCUUGGUAUGGAAACCUACUAGGUGAGAACUUUCAAAUUCAGAGAAACCCCGGAAUUACUAAAAAGGGGCAAUCCUGAGCCAAAUCCUGUUUUCGAAAAAGAAAGGUUCAUAAAAAAAAAAAAAAGGAUAGGAUAGGCGCAGAGACUCAAUGGAAGCUGUUCUAAUAAAUGGGUGCACCGAGAGAAGGAGAGAAGAAUCUUACUGUCGAAAGAUCAGAAAGGAUCAAGGAUACACCUCUCUAUUCUAGAGAAUACUAUUAUUAAUAAUUCAUUUAAUAAUUAAGAUAUUAAUGCUGGCUCGAAUCUAUAACUGUAUCUUUUUUAGAUGAAAAAAUAGAAGAAUUGGUGUCAAUGUCAAUUCAUUAGACAUUGAAUAAAAAAUCGAUCAACUCAUUCACUCCCUAGCCUAGUCCGAUAAACCUUUUUAAGACCAGAUCAAUCGGACAAGAAUAAAGAUAGAGUCCCCUUCUACAUGUCACUACCGG
rnacentral:ncRNA from 1 species